GCCCGGAAGUUGCUGGCAGCCCCGCGUGCGCUUGCGUAUUGUUUGUGACGCACUAAGUGACGCACGCAGGGUCUACACCCCGCGGAGAUGUCGGUCCCCGAGCCGGGCUCUAACUAGUGGACGAGAGCCUCCUACGGAAGCUGCCAUAAUGCUCUGCCUGGCGGUGGCGAAAGUCGCACACAGACCCCUGCGCAGAUCAUCCCCUUGGGCCAAGCUGUCAUCCUAGACAUCCAGCACCCAGCACAAAAUCCAGCGCAGGCUCCAAGCUUCUCUUUCCGACUCUGAAAUCCACUGACUUAUAAAUGCUGGACUCUACUCAAAAACCACAACACAAACCUCCAGGUGCCACACCAAGGUACCAGGCCUGAACUUUGUGUCCCAGUGAGUCAGAAUGACCAGCAACUGGGGGCCAUUC